rnacentral:lncRNA from 1 species
CUGGAGUUUCUUAAAUCUGUCUUCCCUCCAGACUGAAAACCUGCUUCCUCUGUAUCUCACGUUACAAUCCUAACUCAUAUGCAAAUCUCUCCAACUGGCAUGAUUUCACCAAGGGCAGUUUGGAAUUGCAGUGACAGAGGAAGUUUGGAUGUGAACACAGUUGUUCAUCUGAGAGGCUCCAUAGAACGAGCAUUUAGUGAGUUGGGUUUCAAGGUCUUUUACAGUCUUUUGGAGCUCAGGCUCUAAUUGAUACAUAGUUAGGAUUUUAUAAAUUUAAAAUUCAAGAAAUUAAAAAAAUGAUUAACUUUCAAUGCUUUAAAUGUUUUGACUCUUCUAAAGAAAACUGUUUUUCUCCCCACAAUAGCUCCGUAAAAGAGUUGAUGGCAAAUGCUCUUUUUCCUGAAGUCUAUUUCAGAGGUUCCUGGCAAUCAUUUGGGGUUCUAAAUUUGAUUUAACCUCCACGACACCUCUGAAUGAAAUUUAAGGCUGAAAAACAUAGAAAUGGAAGUUUGGACACAUAUCAAUAAUUUUUGAUAGAACUUUACUCAGAGUUAAGUGCAUUGAGAGAACUAGAAACAAGAUUUGGAAAAAAGUGAAAAUUAUAGCCAAGACUAUGACAAGAAGCUACAGCAAAUCCAAUCACAGGGAGGUGGCCAGGCUCCAACCAGCGCACUAGCAACGGACGCCACGGGACACAACUGACCGUGUUCGUUUACAGAUUCACUUACAGAGUGAAUGUAAUCAGCAACAGCCAUUUAGAUAUUAGGAGAUGGGUUCCUUCCCCACACCCUCAAGGUUGAAAUGGUUUCACCAACUGCCGUCACCAACUCCAAGCAGACUGCUCCAAGCAGAGUUGAAAUGUCGUGAGUCUGAGGGACAGAGAAGAAGCUUGAAGAAUGAAUGAGAAGUAUCUAUGGAUUCAUUCUUAAGUGCAAUUGAGGCACUACUCUGGGAAACUGUAAUGAGGUAGUUUGUUUAUUUAUUCUUUUCAUUAGAGAAGCACAUACACAGAAGAAGAAAGAACUUCAUAAUAAUAUAGUAAAAUCCCAUCUGCCCACAUCAACAGUGAACAUUUUGGCAAUUUUCUUUCAUAUGUCACCCAUCUCCACUUAUUUAUUUAUUUUUUUUAAAUUUUGGUGAAAGGUUUGAAGUACCUAGCUUUGUUAUUUUCUUAAAAUUGUGAAUUUACUUUUUUAGAGUAGCUGUAAGUUCACAGCAAAAUUGAGAGGAAGGCAUGGAGAUUUCUCAUAAACUCCCUGCCCCUAUACGUACAUUGCCUCUCCCAUUAUCAACAUCUCCCAUCAGAGUGGUACGUUGGUUCCACUUGAUGAACUACCAUACACGUCACAAUCACCCAAAGUCCGUAAUUCACACUACAGUCCACUCAUGGUGUUGUGCAUUCCAUGGGUUUGGACAAACGUAUAACGACACGCAUCCAUCAUUAUGGUAUCAUACACAGUAUUUACGCUGCCCUAAAAAUCCUCUGUGUUCCACCUGUUCAUCCCUCCCCCUCCCCCAACCCCUGGCAAUCCACUGAUUACUUUGAUUUUCUGAAAAUGAAGAUAUGGAGGGGUUUUUUGCUUUAAUCCUGCUUGUUAUUCUCUAAGCUUCCUGGAUGUGCGGUUUGGUGUCUGCCAUUAAUUGGGGGAAAUUCUUGGUCAUUAUUCUUUCAAAUAUAUCUUCUGCUCCUUUCUCUCUCUUUUCUUUCUGGUAUUCCCAUUAUGUGUAUGUUACAUCCUUUGUAGUUGUCCCACAAUCCAUGGAUAGUGUAUUCUGUUUUUUUCAGACUGAAAAACUUUUGGUUUUCAAAGUUUCUAUUGGUAUGUUUUCUAGCUCAGAGAUUUUUCCUCAUGUGUUCUAUUUACUAAUGAACCCAUCAAAGACAUUCUUCAUUUCUCUUACAGCAUUUUUUAUCUCCAGCAUUUAUUUUGGUUCUUCCUUAGAAUUUCCAUCUCUCUGCUCACAUAGCCCAACUGUUCUCACAUGCUGUCUCUUUGUCCAUUAGAGCCCUUAGCAUAUUAAUUAUAGUUGUGUUAAAUUUACUGGCUGAUAAUUCCAACAUUCCUGCCAUCUCUGGUUCUGAUGCCUUCUCUGCCUUUUCAAACUGUGGGGUUUUUUUGCCUUUUGGUUUGCUUUAUAAUUUUUCCUUGAAAGCCAAACAUGAUGUACUGGGUAAAAGGAACUGCUGUAAACAGAUCUUUAGGGUGUGGAAGGAGAAGCAUUCUAUAGUCCUAUGAUUAGGUCUCAGAUUUUUAGGGAGCCCAAACCUCUGACUGUGAACUUCACAAGCGUUUUUCAGUAUUUUUUUCUCCCCACUUAGGUGGGACAGGAUGGCUUGAGUGGGCUGGAUUUGGUAUUUCCCUUCUUUGUGGUAGGCUAGAGCUGGCUAGAGUUGGGUAUUUCCCUUCCCCAGGUCAGUUAGGCUCUGAUAAUACCCCAGCAGGUUGGGCUCUAGUUAACCAGUUUCCCCUGAUGUCAGGCCUUGCUAGAAAGGAUAGAGUGCUCUGGUGUAUGUAUUUCAAAAUGGUUCCUUUGCCCCUACCCCCUGCUGAAAGCAGGAAAGGAUUUUCUCUGAUAUCUACUGUGGGACACUGGUUGAGCUCCUGAAGGUAAAUCUAACAAUUUUGUGGGCUCCCCAUGUUGACUGGUUUCCCCUGGGGUUUUUAAUUCUCAGGCUUAUCCACACUGAGCCUCUAGCAGUCAGACAAUUAUAGUUCCGGCUUUCCUACCCAGGUGCUGGUUCCCGAGGCCGUUGGUGCUGUGAAUCUGCUCGUCAGCCACAAUGCCCUUGCCUGUCUGUCUCUCCAAUCUUGGGGGUAGUGGUUUGCCCUGUGCCCUCUUCUCUCUUAUGAACUCAAGAAGAGUUGUUGAUUUCUCAGUCUGUUCCACUUUUUUCUUGUUGUUAGACUGGCAUGACAAUUUCCAAGGUCCUUACAUGCAGAAUUGGAAACCCAGUCUCCACUUGUUUUCAUUUUCCCUUUUGUUUUUUUAAUCAAAACUACAACUAGAUUUGAUUAGGAUUGAUCAGUAGAUUCAAGUAUUGUCAGUCGCAGUAGGCAGAAUUCUAAAGAUGCCCACUCAACUUCCUAGCCUCGGUUAUUCAGUAAAACACUAAUUUUGGUACAGCUGUGAAGGGACUUUUCAGAUCUGAUAACGAUAAAGAGAUUGUAUUGGAUUAUAUGAGUGAACCCAAAUUAAUCACCUGAGCCCUUAAAAGCCGAGAAGUUUCUCAGGCUAUUGUCAGAGAGAAGAGGUAGCAGGAGGGAUGAGACAGAAGAGGAAGUCAGAGAUAGACACGAGAAGAACUAGAACUGUUGUUGACUAUGAAGAUGGAGGAAGGGGAUCAGGAGCUAAGGAAUAUGUGGCCUUCGAAGCUGAGAAUGACCCAUAGCCAAAAGCCAGCAAGUAAAUGGGACCACAGUACUACAACCACAUAGAACUGAGUUCGGCUAAGAAACUUGGAAGUAGAGAUAUCCCCAGAACCUGCAGAAAGAAAUGCAGGCCUGCUGACAGCUUGGUUUCUGUCCAUGUGACAUCUAGGCCUGAAAUCAACAAUUUUUGCACCGCCCUCCCCCGCCAGAACUCUUUUUUUUUUUUUUUUUGUAGGAAACAGUAUUUAUAGAUUAUCAUCUGGGUAAUAGGUAUAAAACAUGUUCUGCCAGGCAGAUACCAAGGAAACUCAGGAAUCUUGAGUCCCACAUACCCACUGCCUUCUCCCAAAUCACCAAUCUUCCUUGCAGAGAAGCGAAGGAGGAUCUUGAAAGAGGCCAGCGCUUCUGUCUAGCUCAGAUGCUUCCAAAAAUAAACAGGAGAGGGUGUCAGGUACACAGAUAUCCUGAAGCUAUAAAUCCAGAAAAAUUAACCCAGAUGCUGGCCGCAUUCCCAUGGGGUUUCUGGCCUGGGGCUAGAAUUGAUUAUCAGACAUGAAAGGGGCUGGCCCCGUGGCCGAGUGGUUAAGUUCACGCGCUCCGCUGCAGGCAGCCCAGUGUUUCGUUGGUUCAAAUCCUGGGCGCAGACAUGGCACUGCUCAUCAAACCACGCUGAGGCAGCGUCCCACAUGCCACAACUGGAAGGACCCACAGCGAAGAAUAUACAACUAUGUACUGGGGGGCUUUGGGGAGAAAAAGGAAAAAAUAAAAUCUUUAAAAAAAAAUAGACAUGAAAAUUUAUUUUAUAUUUUUAUACAUUGGUCUUCUAUUUUUAUUUUAUGUCCAUUAGUCGUAAGAAACAUGAGCUAGUGAAAUAUAGUAGAAACUUAAAUGUUUGUUGAUUGAAUAAAUGAACCAGAAUUUUAAUAAAUAUUUGUUGGCAG